rnacentral:lncRNA from 1 species
GGCCUGCUCAAAGAGAAAUGAUUAAGGAAGUUCGCACAAAAAGGAAAUAACUAAAGGAAAUAUUACAUCAGGAAUGAAGAAAAAGGAACAGAAAGGGUUCAAGAGCAUGGGUUGUUGUGGAAAGCCAGAGGAUUAGAAAACUCAUCGUGGAGGAGGUACUCGGACCUGAAACUUUUAGGAAAUGUUAACGUUCAUCAAGUCUGUUCCAGCAGCCAAAGUUUGAGCUCAACACACACACACACACCCGCCAGGGCUCUUGUGAAAAGACUUCAGCUUUCACUUGUCUCUACACAAAAGACCACCACCCCGCCAGAUAAAAUACGAAAACCUGGAGUAGACACACACGUACACUGGAUUCCCUUAAUGAUUCAUCGAUCACUGAGCCUCAGAUUAAUCCAGAAUGUGAAACAGACGUCACAUUCGUUGACAAAAGCCACCCCAUCGAUUCUCAAUCACUGAGCCCCACUGGGGAGUGACCCGCGAGGACCACAAUCCCUGACCUCAGUACUCUUGGUCGUUGAUCUAUUCAGGCCUUUAAUCACUGACCACCAGACCCUCCAUGAGGGACCCCAAAGAUAUCCUAUCACAGACACCCACCAGGGACUCCUACCAGCUCCCCUCCAAAAGGAAACACCCGCCCCCGCCUCCCCCAACCCCCGCGCUACCUCCACCAUAUAGCGCCACCAACAACGCAGACGCCCUCAGAAAGCUCCCUCCCACCACGUUUCCACGCCCUGACCCACACACUGACCUGACUCUCCUUGGAAUCGCCGCGACCUCUUAAAAGCUGAACUUACUUCCCUAAACUUCUUCCACUUCUGGGCCCCUCGCCCAACUCCC